UACGGGGGGGGCAAGCGUUGUUCGGAAUUACUGGGCGUAAAGGGCUCGUAGGCGGCCAACUAAGUCGGACGUGAAAUCCCCAGGCUCAACCUGGGAACUGCGUCCGAUACUGGAUGGCUUGAAUCCGGGAGAGGGAUGCAGAAUUCCAGGUGUAGCGGUGAAAUGCGUAGAUAUCUGGAGGAAUACCGGUGGCGAAGGCGGCAUCCUGGGCAGUAACUGACGCUGAGGAGCGAAAGCGUGGGGAGCGAACAGG
rnacentral:rRNA from 1 species